UACGUAGGCAGCAAGCGUUGUUCGGAGUUACUGGGCGUAAAGGGUGUGUAGGCGGUUGUUUAAGUUUGGUGUGAAAUCUCCCGGCUCAACUGGGAGGGUGCGCCGAAUACUGAAUGACUAGAGUGCGGGAGAGGAAAGUGGAAUUCCUGGUGUAGCGGUGAAAUGCGUAGAUAUCAGGAGGAACACCGGUGGUGUAGACGGCUUUCUGGACCGUAACCUGACGCUGAGACACGAAAGCGUGGGUAGCAAACAGG
rnacentral:rRNA from 1 species